UAUCCAUGUGGAGGGCAUUUGAUCAACAUCUCUUGGAAUCUCUCCCAAGUUUCUGAAAACUUCUCAUCUUCCUUUUGAGUGAAAGAACUUAUCUCCUUGCGGUA